GAUUUAUAAAAUGCGAUACAUGUGCAAUAAAACAUGACAGAAACUGUAUUUCGCUACGAUACUUGAUUUGGAACAUCAACGUACACAACAACUCGGAAUGUAUGGACAAACUGAACCUCAGGAACUUGGUGUCUAUUUCAAUGGAUGGGCCCAAUGUGAAUUGGAAACUCUUCGACCUUUUCCAGAAAGAUCAAGCUGAGCAGUACGGAGGUCUUCAGCUCGUUUGUGUGGGGAGCUGUGGCCUACACACGCUACACAACUCCUUCAAGUGUGGGUUCACUGUAUGGCAGCUGGACAAAUUGCUGAGAGCAAUGCACACAUUGUUUCACAAUACGCCUGCCAAGAGAGAGGAUUACAUCACCGUAACCAAGUCCAGUGUGUUCCCUCUAUCUUUCUGUGCCCAUCGUUGGGUAGAAAACCUUCCGGUUGUGGAGAGAGCCCUGGCAGUCUGGCCAUCAUUUCUCCUGUACAUGGAAGCUGUGAAAACAAAGAGACUCCCGAACCCUGGAACAGCAUCAUAUGACACAGUUGCAGCAGCCAUAAAGGAUCCACUCGUCUUGGCCAAAUUGCAGUUCUACGCAGCAAUUGCCAGGACCUUCAAUUCCUUCCUGAAAAAAUAUCAGACGGAUGAGCCUGUGCUCCCAUUCCUCCCCAAGGACCUGACCGAGUUGAUGAUGAUGGUGUGCCUGGAUCCGUCAGUAAUGUAUAGAGAACCAGAAAGAGGCAGGAAUCACAUGAAAGGGCUGGUUCAAAGGUUUCUCCAGGACAAACAGCUUACUGAUACUUCUUCGGGUAAGAAUAAGGCAAAUUAUAGGCUACACAUGAAUUUAUCCUCAAUCUAAUUAGCUGGUAAUGCCC
ensembl:lncRNA